rnacentral:rRNA from 1 species
AUGUCUUUAGGCAUCUUGGUAUGGAAUGUGAGGGGACUUAAUAAUCCCGCAUGGCAAGCGUCCAUUAGGAUGUUCCUGCAAUCCUGCAAUGUUUCGCUUGUUUGUUUGCAAGAAUGUAAAUUGGAAGUGGUGGACGUGUCGGUGGUUGGCCAGACCUUGGGGCCGGGCUUCGAUGGCUCUGAGUAUUUGCCAGCCAUGGGCACCAGAGGGGCAUUCUUGUGGCAUGGAAAUCGGACUUGCUGCGGGUUUCAGUGA